rnacentral:rRNA from 1 species
UACGGGGGGGGCAAGCGUUGUUCGGAAUUACUGGGCGUAAAGGGCGCGUAGGUGGCCAACUAAGUCAGACGUGAAAUCCCUCGGCUUAACCGGGGAACUGCGUCUGAUACUGGAUGGCUUGAGUUUGGGAGAGGGACGCGGAAUUCCAGGUGUAGCGGUGAAAUGCGUAGAUAUCUGGAGGAACACCGGUGGCGAAGGCGGCGUCCUGGACCAAUACUGACACUGAAACGCGAAAGCCAGGGGAGCAAACGG